CCCUUUAUUUAUAUUAAGCCAUUCUAUAGACCUAUAGAAGUUAUUAUGUUAAAACUAGUAAUAAGAAGANCGACCUUCUCUUUAAUGUAAGUGUAAAUCAGAAAGGACUAACCACUGAUAAUUAUUNGCUAAUGAACCUAAAACAGCAANCUCCACCAGAAAACCCUGUUUUACNNNNCUAGCGUUAACCUAACACCAGAGCAUCUCAAGAAAGAUUAAAAGAAAAAGAAGGAACUCGGCAAACAUUAACCUCGCCUGUUUACCAAAAACAUCGCCUCUUGNCAAAANUAUAAGAGGUCUAGCCUGCCCAGUGACUCAAUUCAACGGCCGCGGUAUCCUAACCGUGCGAAGGUAGCGUAAUCACUUGUUCUUUAAAUAAGGACUAGUAUGAAUGGCAUCACGAGGGUUAUACUGUCUCCUUUUUCUAAUCAAUGAAACUGAUCUCCCCGUGAAGAAGCGGGGAUUAUUAUAUAAGACGAGAAGACCCUAUGGAGCUUUAAACUANUAUAGCAAAAGCUUAUACANNNNUUAAUAUAUUUCANNNNNGAACUAUAACACCUAUUCUAGCAUAUAUGACUAUUAGUUUUAGGUUGGGGUGACCGCGGAGCAAAAAUUAACCUCCACAUUGAACGAAACCUNUUUCUGAGCAGAAAACUACAACUUCAAGCACCAAUAAACUGACAUAAAUUGACCCAAUAUUUUGAUCAACGAACCAAGUUACCCUAGGGAUAACAGCGCAAUCCACCUCAAGAGCUCCUAUCGACAGGUGGGCUUACGACCUCNGAUGUUGGAUCAGGGUAUCCUAGUGGUGCAGCCGCUACUAAAGGUUCGUUUGUUCAACGAUUAAAACCCUACGUGAUCUGAGUUCAGACCGGAGCAAUCCAGGUCAGUUUCUAUCUAUAANAGGGCUUUUUCUAGUACGAAAGGACCGNAAAAAGCAUGGCCAAUUCUUUAAGUAAGCCAUUUGAUAUAAUUUGUGACUUAAACUCAAUAAAAACCUAACCUUACACNNUUUAUUCAAGAAAAGAAAN
rnacentral:rRNA from 1 species